UACGUAGGUGGCAAGCGUUGUCCGGAUUUACUGGGCGUAAAGAGCGCGCAGGCGGUCGUUCAAGUCGCGUGUGAAAGCCCCCGGCUCAACUGGGGAGGGUCACGCGAUACUGAUCGACUGGAAGGCAGGAGAGGGUAGUGGAAUUCCCGGUGUAGUGGUGAAAUGCGUAGAUAUCGGGAGGGACACCAGUGGCGAAGGCGACUACCUGGCCUGUUCUUGACGCUGAGGCGCGAAAGCUAGGGGAGCAAACGGG
rnacentral:rRNA from 1 species